UCCCCCCAACAGGAUUGCACCUGGAGAGUUUCCAGUACUCUCCCAGUCUCAGCUAUGGGAGGGAGAGUCAAGCGGAGGCCUACCCAUUCCAUUCCUAGCUUGAGCAGUGACUAGUGAGUGGAAGGUAAUCUGCUACAAGU